CCUACGGGCGGCAGCAGUGAGGAAUAUUGGUCAAUGGGCUUACGCCUGAACCAGCCAAGUCGCGUGAGGGAAGACUGCCCUAUGGGUUGUAAACCUCUUUUGUCAGGGAGCAACGCCGGCUACGUGUAGCCGGACGGAGAGUACCUGAAGAAAAAGCAUCGGCUCACUCCGUGCCAGCAGCCGCGGUAAUACGGAGGAUGCGAGCGUGAUCCUGAUUGAUUGGGUUGAAAGGGUGCGUAGGCGGAAUGCCAAGUCAGCGGUAAAAGCGCGGGGCUCAACCUCGCUCCGCCGUUGAAACUGUCGUUCUUGCGUGUGCGAGAAGUAUGCGGAAUGCUUGGUGUAGCGGU
rnacentral:rRNA from 1 species